CUUCCAGUAGCACCUUAGAGACCAACUAAGUUAGUGAUUGGUAUGAGCUUUCGUGCUAACUAACUUAGGUCAUCUCUAAGGUGCUACUGGAAG